UUGGAGGGCAAGUCUGGUGCCAGCAGCCGCGGUAAUUCCAGCUCCAAUAGCGUAUAUUAAAGUUGUUGCAGUUAAAAAGCUCGUAGUUGAAUUUCGGGAUCAGUUCGUCGGUCGUGCCUUUGGUAUGUACUGGUGUUACUGGUUCCUCCCUUCUGACGAACCGUCAUGUCAUUAAUUUGGUGUGGCGGGAAAUCAGGACUGUUACUUUGAAAAAAUUAGAGUGUUUAAAGCAGGCUCGCGCUUGAAUACAUUAGCAUGGAAUAAUGAAAUAGGACGUUUGAUUCUAUUUUGUUGGUUUCUAGGAUCGACGUAAUGAUUAAUAGGGAUAGUUGGGGGCAUUAGUAUUCAAUUGUCAGAGGUGAAAUUCUUGGAUUUAUUGAAGACUAACUACUGCGAAAGCAUUUGCCAAGGAUGUUUUCAUUAAUCAAGAACGAAAGUUAGGGGAUCGAAGACGAUCAGAUACCGUCGUAGUCUUAACCAUAAACUAUGCCGACUAGGGAUCGGAUGAUGUUAAUUUUUUAACGACUCAUUCGGCGCCUUACGGGAAACCAAAGUGUUUGGGUUC
rnacentral:rRNA from 1 species